UUGGCCCCUUAGCAGUGCAGCGUCUGGACAGCUCUACAGUGAGGACCUACUCCUGCUGAGGGAGGAGAAGAGAGACUGUAAGCUAUAACCAUGUUUGCUUGGAGAGGAGAGUCCCUGCUCUAGUGCAGGCACUCAUGAUCAGAUGAUAGGAGUCAAAGGCAGCAGCAUGAGGCGGCCUCACUCUGUUGGCCCUCCUUUAAUCUCUGUCCAGCACAGACAACUACAGCCACAGAACACAUGGAACUGUAUUCCACAUCAGGUAACUGAUGCAAGCAGUAGAAUCAGAUUUUUUUUUAACUGAUAAAAAUACACCUUGUGGAACAGCGGGGACUGUGAAGAGACACACACAGGUAGUAUGGCGGUAAUAUACAUUUUGUAUUGUAGAUAUGUAGUGGUGUAAUAAAGUUAAAAAUUAUUUAACUUCUAAAAGUGUGAGGGAAAAUCCAAGAGGUAGAACCGAUCAGUGGUCCACGAAGGCUGUCAACAGAUGAAUGGCCGCAGUAUUGACGUGAUCCAAUGUCUUGAACUGUCUUUUUCAACCUUGUAUAAGAAAACACUAAACUUUAUACCUUUAUACAGUACAUAUGAUGUACUGUUUUUAUAUAUUUUUUUCAUGUGUGAUGUAAGUGCCUUCAUGUGUGUGGACCCCAGGAAGAGUAGCUGCUGCCUUGGCAGGAACUAAUGGGGAUCUCUAAUAUAUACAUGAAUACCCCUGAAUGCCAAGGUCCAGAUACUGUAUGUAGAGAAGGUCUUACUGUACCUUGGAGCUGCUGGACGGGUCCUCCUGCCUGGAACAAACAUUCUGACGAGACGCACUGCCAAGAAGCACCCCCCUACCCACCCACCCACCAAAAAGAGAGGGGGGGGGGGGGGGGGGGGCAGCGAGGGGUGCCUCCUGCCAAGCCGCCCCCCUCUGCACUUAGGAGUCAAGGCCCCCUGAAACCUGGGCAGCAGCUGCCGGUGCUACUUUCCUUCCGUCUGUCCUGUUGUCACCGUUUCUACCUUUUACAUGUACAAUAACUUGUUGAAGCAUAAUGUACUGUGUAUUUCUUCUACCAGGAGAUGUGUAGGUUAUCUGUAAAUUAAUAUAAAUAUGAGUUUUUUUUAAUAUAUAUAUAUAUAUAAAUAUAUACACAUCUAUAUUACAAAAAAGAAAAGAUAUUCAGAGUUUGUGCAAAUAAACCCCGCCUUCCCAUUUCAAGUCCAUGUCCUUGGUUAAAAUAUGCUGCUCUUUGAACAUUUCUCCAUCAUUCCCCGAGAGACCAUUUUGUACAUAGUUAUUUUCCAUUGUGCAGGGAAAUGUGUGUUUUCACCUUGGAGAGACUGUCCAUCUGGUCGCCACGUGACCUCCCCCCCAGCUGGUAAAGCCUGCCCUCUAGUGGCGUGUACAGCCCCAUGUAUCCGCGUCACCAUUUACCAGCCACAGCCCCUCACCUCACAAUCAUGACGAAGCCCAUCUCAUAGCAAAGCAUUCUGGGAGGAGGACACAGAAACGCACUGUGAUGUCUACUGAUGAUGUGACAAGCACUUUGAUACAACCACAGAAACUGUGGACUACAGCCACAGACUAAAAUAUAGACUUCACUCUGAAGCUACUCAGCUCAGAGAUCAACUAACAGCAGGAACACUCUUCAUCAGAUGAUCUCACUCACCUACAGUACCUUGACCAUAAAGCCAUACAUGAAUAAACUCAAGCUGGACUUUUUUUAUUUUGCCAUGGAGUCCGACUCAGCAUCGCUGAGAAAUAACUGAAAGACAGACUGCUUAACUCAUUGUGCGUAGAGUGUAUAUGAACAUGUCGAAGUGAGGUGAAUUUUAAUGACAAACCUGUUGCUUGCUGUGACAUUGGUGUAAUUGUUAACUUUUUGUUUUUGUCUGAGUUGCCAGGGAAACCUAUUGUACAGCCCUCCUACCUGUCUUUGAGUUAUUUCUGCUGGAGUACUCGAUCAGGUUUGAAUUUUUUGUUGACUUUUACAUCCUCGAUUUGCACAAACAAAGAAUCAUUUUAUUUUAUGUCCAUUUUUUAUUCAUUGCUAAUUGUAUUUUGGUCAAAACUAAGUGGUGAUCAAUCAAAUUUUCAUUGCCAAUAAAAAAAAUGUCAGUGAAGUAGCUGUUGAAAUGACUAUUUUUCACUCAUUGCUUCACUUCAGAGCUCUAGUAUGAAGAGUUCUUUCAUCAUAUUAAACUAUAAGAUAUAAACUAAACAUGACAAUUAUUUUAUUUAACUAGGCAAGUCCGUUAAGAACAAAUUCUUAUUUACAAUAAUGGCCUACCGGGGACAGGGGCUGGGAUUUAAAAAAAAAAAAAGAUAUAUACAUAUCUAUAUGACAAAACACACAUUAACAUAUGAAUGUAUCAACAAGGUAGAUUGGAUGAUGGAUGUGGAACACCAGAAUAUCCACUCCAGAGCUCAGUUCUGGCAUCAUUAGUGCUUUAAGCGAUAUUCCGUUGACUGCUAAAUGGUUACGUUAUAGUAAUAUGAAGGGAUUUUGAUUUGUACGGUUGGAGUUUGUUGAAGUCUGUAAGUAGGUAUAAAGUAAGCUUCAUUAAUAGUGUUCAAAUGUUGGCAGCAUGAGGAUUGAACCCAAACUGAAGCUAAGUUAUGAGGUGGGAAACCCUUCCAGCGACUGCCUGUUCAGGGCCUGUUCAGGAGGACAUAACUUAACAGAAUGUUCAGAUAGACAAUCAUUUUUGUUCUACACAAUACAUUUCUAUCACAUGGAAUAGGGAAUCGUGUCAGCUCUAUUCAGUCUAUUUCUAACUAUAAUGUUCAGUGUUUAACGUACCUGAAUACACCCAGAGCUCCGAUGUUUUCCUGGACCCAAAUUGCUUACCAGUUUUUAAAAUCUCAAUAUCAAAUCAUUUCUGGUUAACAAUUAAGUACCUUACUGUAAUUGUUUUCAAUCAAAAAUAAACAAAUACCUUAGCAAAAAUAUAUUUCUCAAGCAAGACUUUUUCUAGGACUGUCUGGGAGUGGCCUGAGUACUCCAUCCCAGGCCAAAACUCCAUCCCACCAAAACAGGAUGACAUUUCAGGCAGUCUUUUCAAACAGCUCUUACACUAAAAGGGAAUUAUCAUUUUCACAAUAUUAUUCCAACCUCAUAGUGUUGAAAUAUUAAACACAGGAAAGUCAGUUUGACUGCACUGGGCCUUCAAUAGACCAAUAACCUGCAAGUUGUCAGGUUACAUAAAUAUAUCCCUCCUAUUAGGCCUGUCCAGUUAGGGCCCUCACUCAGACCACUCCCAGACAGUCUCUUUGCUAAGAAGCUAUUUUUGUUUAUUUGUAACUAUUUUAAUUGAGAAGAAUCACAGUAAGGCACUUAACUUUUACCCAGACAUUUUUUUAAAAGACUGCAUUGCACCUUUAAAAUCACUUUCAACUGAGAUUCUGUGAAACCCACCCUUCAACUUUCUUUUGCCAAUGGAGAUGUCACUUCUUUAAAUAAUUAACACAAUGCAUGAUGGCUGUUUGAACAAUAUUGGUCACAGAGUUUCUAAACCCAGAGGCGUAACAUCGUGAGUCUUCUGGGAAUGCUUGCGAAACAAACUCGGCAGACCAGACCUGGGUUUGAGAAGUCAAUGGGAGAAGUGAAAAAUGCUUCCUUAAGUUGUUUUCUCGAAAUCUAAAAGCCACACCAUGAUUCAAGACAAUGUCUUAAGUAGCUGAAACUGUCAUUAUUACAACCUCAUGAAAGUGACAAACUGACACGUUUUCAUUUUCAUCUAAAACAACUAUAUCGGAGGACUGCCUUUUAGAGGUCCACGGAUCCACCCGUACCCGAAUCACAGUACGGUAUAACAGAUCCGAACACGACUGCUGCAGGAGAGACAGCAAGAAACUGUAUAACUGAUCCGAACACGACUGCUGCAGUAGGGNNNNNNNNNNNNNNNNNNNNNNNNNNNNNNNNNNNNNNNNNNNNNNNNNNNNNNNNNNNNNNNNNNNNNNNNNNNNNNNNNNNNNNNNNNNAUGUUAGUUCUAUGUUAGUUGAGCUAUAUUGGUUGAGCUAUGUUAGUUAUAUGUUAGCUGAGCUAUGUUAGUUCUAUGUUAGUUGAGCUAUGUUAGUUCUAUGUUAGUUGAGCUAUGUUAGUUCUAUGUUAGUUGAGCUAUAUUAGUUGAGCUAUGUUAGUUCUAUGUUAGCUGAGCUAUGGAAGUUGAACUAUGUUAGUUAUAUGUUAGCUGAGCUAUGUUAGUUGAGCUAUGUUAGUUCUAUAUUAGUUGAGCUAUGUUAGUUCUAUGUUAGUUGAGCUAUAUUAGUUGAGCUAUGUUAGUUAUAUGUUAGCUGAGCUAUGUUAGUUGAGCUAUGUUAGUUCUAUAUUAGUUGAGCUAUGUUAGUUCUAUGUUAGUUGAGCUAUAUUAGUUGAGCUAUGUUAGUUCUAUGUUAG
rnacentral:lncRNA from 13 species